CAGCAGCCGCGGGAAUGCGAAGGUCCCGAGCGUUGUUCGGAAUCACUGGGCGUAAAGGGAGCGUAGGCGGCGUGGUAAGUCAGAUGUGAAAUCCCGGGGCUCAACCCCGGAACUGCAUCCGAUACUGCCAUGCUAGAGGAUUGGAGAGGUAGCUGGAAUUCUUGGUGUAGCAGUGAAAUGCGUGGAGAUCAAGAGGAACACUCGUGGCGAAAGCGAGCUACUGGACAAUAACUGACGCUGAGGCUCGAAGGCCAGGGUAGCGAAAGGGAUUAGAUACCCGCGUAGUCCCUGUCUCUUAUAU
rnacentral:rRNA from 1 species